rnacentral:tRNA from 1 species
UCUCUCAUAGGUUAGUGGUCAAAGCAUUGGUGCGUAAAGCCAAAGGUCCCGGGUUCGAUUCCCGGCGAGAUUG